GAGUUUGAUCAUGGCUCACCCUUUNACGCUGGCGGCAGGCCUAACACAUGCAAGUCGGACGGUUACAGGAUUAGCUUGCUAAUUGCUGACGAGUAGCGGACGGGUGAGUAAUACUUAGGGAUCUGCCUUUGUGAGGGGGAUAACCAUUGGAAACGAUGGCUAAUACCGCAUAAUGCCUACGGACCAAAGGGGGCUUUUAGCUCUCGCACGAAGAGGAACCUAAGCGAGAUUAGCUAGUUGGUGGGGUAAAGGCUCACCAAGGCGACGAUCUCUAGCUGUUCUGAGAGGAAGAUCAGCCACACUGGGACUGAGACACGGCCCAGACUCCUACGGGAGGCAGCAGUGGGGAAUAUUGCACAAUGGGGGAAACCCUGAUGCAGCCAUGCCGCGUGUGUGAAGAAGGCCUUCGGGUUGUAAAGCACUUUCAGUCGUGAGGAAAGGUUGGUAGUUAAUACCUGCCAACUAUGACGUUAGCGACAGAAGAAGCACCGGCUAACUCCGUGCCAGCAGCCGCGGUAAUACGGAGGGUGCGAGCGUUAAUCGGAAUUACUGGGCGUAAAGCGCACGCAGGCGGUUUGUUAAGCUAGAUGUGAAAGCCCCGGGCUCAACCUGGGAGGGUCAUUUAGAACUGGCAGACUANAGUCUUGGAGAGGGGAGUGGAAUUCCAGGUGUAGCGGUGAAAUGCGUAGAGAUCUGGAGGAACAUCGGUGGCGAAGGCGACUCCCUGGCCAAAGACUGACGCUCAUGUGCGAAAGUGUGGGUAGCGAACAGGAUUAGAUACCCUGGUAGUCCACACCCGUAAAACGCUGUCUACUAGCUGUUUUGUGUAUUUAANACGUGAGUAGCGAANCUUAACGCGCUUAGUAAACCCGCCUGGGGGAGUUCCGGCCGCCAGGUUAAAAACUUCAAAUGGAAUUUGACCNGGGGGCCCGCCACAAAGCGGGU
rnacentral:rRNA from 1 species